rnacentral:rRNA from 1 species
UGGGGAAUCUUGCACAAUGGGGGAAACCCUGAUGCAGCGACGCCGCGUGAGCGAUGAAGCCCUUCGGGGUGUAAAGCUCUUUCGGCAGGAACGAUAAUGACGGUACCUGCAGAAGAAGCUGCGGCUAACUACGUGCCAGCAGCCGCGGGAAUACGUAGGCAGCAAGCGUUGUUCGGAGUUACUGGGCGUAAAGAGUGCGUAGGCGGUCCUCUAAGUGCGGAGUGAAAUCUCCCGGCUCAACUGGGAGGGUGCGCCGGAAACUGGAGUGCUUGAGUAUGGGAGAGGAAAGCGGAAUUCCUGGUGUAGCGGUGAAAUGCGUAGAUAUCAGGAGGAACACCUGUGGUGUAGACGGCUUUCUGGACCAUGACUGACGCUGAGGCACGAAAGCGUGGGGAGCAAACA